AUUGAACGCUGGCGGCAUGCCUUACACAUGCAAGUCGAACGGCAGCGGGGGAGAAGCUUGCUUUUCCUGCCGGCGAGUGGCGAACGGGUGAGUAAUACAUCGGAACGUGCCCUGUAGUGGGGGAUAACUAGUCGAAAGAUUAGCUAAUACCGCAUACGACCUGAGGGUGAAAGUGGGGGACCGCAAGGCCGCAUGCUAUAGGAGCGGCCGAUGUCUGAUUAGCUAGUUGGCGGGGUAAAGGCCUACCAAGGCGACGAUCAGUAGCUGGUCUGAGAGGGCGACCAGCAACACGGGAACUGAGACACGGUCCAGACUCCUACGGGAGGCAGCAGUGGGUAAUUUUGGACAAUGGGCGAAAGCCUGAUCCAGCCAUUCCGCGUGCAGGAUGAAGGCCCUCGGGUUGUAAACUGCUUUUGUACAGAACGAAAAGGUUUCUACUAAUACUAGGAGCUCAUGACGGUACUGUAAGAAUAAGCACCGGCUAACUACGUGCCAGCCGCCGCGGUAA
rnacentral:rRNA from 1 species